AGCGAACGCUGGCGGCAGGCUUAACACAUGCAAGUCGAGCGGGCACUUUCGGGUGUCAGCGGCGGACGGGUGAGUAACGCGUGGGAACGUGCCCUCUGGUUCGGAAUAACUCAGGGAAACUUGAGCUAAUACCGGAUACGCCCUUUUGGGGAAAGGCUUGCUGCCGGAGGAUCGGCCCGCGUCUGAUUAGCUAGUUGGUGAGGUAACGGCUCACCAAGGCGACGAUCAGUAGCUGGUCUGAGAGGAUGAUCAGCCACACUGGGACUGAGACACGGCCCAGACUCCUACGGGAGGCAGCAGUGGGGAAUAUUGGACAAUGGGCGCAAGCCUGAUCCGGCCAUGCCGCGUGAGUGAUGAAGGCCUUAGGGUUGUAAAGCUCUUUUAUCCGGGACGAUAAUGACGGUACCGGAGGAAUAAGCCCCGGCUAACUUCGU
rnacentral:rRNA from 1 species